rnacentral:misc_RNA from 1 species
AAGGAUCAUUAAUCGAAUGAACAUGUUUCCCAGCAUGAAACUUCAAAACCCCACCUGUGUAUCUUACCUGUUGCUUCCGUGCCGCACACGCCUGCGAAGGGGUGCCUCCUGGUCCGGAAUACCGCGUACUGCGGGCCCUGGGGAGUCGGCACGCUUGGUUAACCGUAAAAACUCUUGCCUUUGAAUGUCUUCUGUCUGAACUGUAUUACGUAAAAAGUUAAAACUUUCAACAACGGAUCUCUUGGUUCUC